rnacentral:antisense_RNA from 1 species
AUCAAUGAUGGGCUGAAUGGGAGAUCGAAAGAUCGCCGUUUUCCUUUUUUGAACGGUACGCCAAUCCUGUUCAGUUCAUCACCAAC